UACAGAGACCUCAAGCGUUAUCCGGAAUCAUUGGGCGUAAAGCGUUCCGAUAGGUGGUUUUGCAAGUCAGAAGUGAAAUCUCUCAGCUUAACUGGGAGACUGUCUUUUGAAACUGCAAAGCUAGAGGGGCAAAGAGGAAGCUGGAACGAACGGUGUAGUAGUGAAAUGCGUUGAUAUCGUUCGGAACACCAAUAGCGUAGGCAGGCUUCUGGGUGCCACCUGACACUGCUAGGACGAAAGCGUGGGGAGCGAAUGGG
rnacentral:rRNA from 1 species